AAACUGGACUCGUAAGUCCUGGAACAGGCUGCUCGGAUGUAAGUCCGUGCUACUCCGUCUGGCCUUGGCCCGCCUUUUGGCGUGAACGGUGAGAAUCGGCCCCCAGGGUGAGCCAGUUU
rnacentral:sRNA from 12 species